rnacentral:ncRNA from 2 species
CUCUUAUCAAGAGCGGCAGAGGGACUGGCCCUACGAUGCCCGGCAACCUUCAACUACUUAUGUUGAAAAGGUGCUAACUCCUGCAAGGUAUAUUUACCUUGAGAGAUAAGAG